rnacentral:rRNA from 1 species
AUUCCCCCAGUAGUGGCGAGCGAACGGGGAAGAGCCCAAACCGUUCAUGUUACGGCAUGAACGGGGUUGUAGGACCGCGUUGUUGCAAGAAAUUUUGCGAGAAGAACGAUCUGGAAAGUUCGGCCGAAGACGGUGACAGCCCGGUAUUCGAAGCAAGACGAAGCAUAGCGGUAUCCUGAGUAGCGCGGAACACGAGGAAUUCUGCGACCGAAAUGUACCGGGGCUAAACGGAUUACCGAAGCUGUG